UAACACUUUAAAAAUUUCAUCAUUGUUUAAUUUUUACGUAACACUUUUGUAACACUGCUGUAUUAGGUAACAUUAUUUGUACCACUUUAAUAUUAUGUAACACUUUAUGGUAACACUUAGAUAUUAGGUAGCACUUGGUUAUAACACUUUUUUUUCUUGUUUUUUUUACAAAUAUUUUUAUUAAAACAAUCGAUCCUCACAAUUACAGCCUCACAAGUCAGAAGUCACAAGUCACAAAUUUCUUCUUCCCUCUUACUUCUCCAUCCCUCAAGCUUUCACUAUCUUUUACACUUCAUUUUCCUUGCUCGGCUUCCAUCGCUACCCCCUUCUCGGCUUCCACCACUACUACCGCUACCCCCUUCUCGUUCCCGGUGCUCCACUGUAGUCCCCAUCCACCGCCGCAGCCUCCCUCCAUUGCAACCCGUGCUCCAACUCGAAACUGUCACAAUUGCCCGUGAUCCAAGUUGAAGAGACAACGUUUGCCACCUCCUGGCCUCCAUCCUCGACGGCUUCCACCUUAAAUUUAGGGUUAUGAUUAGGUCAGUUCCCUCUCCCUUCCAUUAUCAACAAGUAUUUGAGCUGACUAAAUUCAGGGUUUUAAUUUGAUAUUGAAUUUUCCUAUUAUCAUGUUUCAUUUCACUAUUUUCAUAGUGAAUUUUCCUAUUAACAAGUUUAAUUUCACUAUUAUCAUACUUAAUUUUGCAUGCAUCUGAAUUGGAUGAAGUAUAUAUUUAGAUGAGUGGAUUUUCUGUUUUUUCUUCUUUUCCAUUACUGCUUCUUUGAUUUACCUUGUAAUUUCAUCUUUUUUAACUAAUCUGACCAAUUUUAAUUUAACUAUUUUCUUUUCUGAAUUGAUUCUUCAUAAAAUUGUCUAGAAUCCAAGUAACUAUGUGUGAAAGAGAUGCAGAAAUUGAAGGCAAUGCCGUGUUUAGGGCUUUGGAUGUGUGAGAAGCUAAUGUAUUAACUGAAUUGAGGACUAUCGAGUUGAUUGACUAUAAAGGGAAUGCCAUCAUUGACAUUAUUAGGUCAGAACUAUGGAGCCUUGGUGUUGGAUCUACCCUGCAAUCUGCUUGGGCCAACUGCUUUAUUUCAGGUUUUCGGAAUUGAGGUUGUAGUGAAUAAUUGAUCUUUCUAUAUAAGUGUGUUUAGCAUCUCCAUGUUCUUUGACGAACCUUGUAUUGAUGCACUAAUGUCCGCAUUCCAGAUGAAAUAAUGUGACUCCCAUCCCAACAUCUAGUACUCGCAAAAACGGAGGCAACAUAGGGAGGAGAAGGCUGUGAAUGAUUAUGAUUCAACACUGUUGUUGCUUAUGUUGUGCUUUACUGCUACCUAGCCUCAAGCAUUGUGAUUGGGGGAUUUUUUUUUUUUCAUUGAUGAAAUUGUAAUAUUACAAGCAUUUAUUAAUAAAAUUAUCCAAGUUUAUAUGUAUAUAUAUAUAUAUUCAAUGGUUUUUAUCAGUUUUAGUGAAAAAGAAGUAAAUUUUUUUUUUCUA